AAAGCGUGCGCAGGCGGUUAUAUAAGACAGAGGUGAAAUCCCCGGGCUCAACCUGGGAACUGCCUUUGUGACUGUAUGGCUAGAGUGUGUCAGAGGGGGGUAGAAUUCCACGUGUAGCAGUGAAAUGCGUAGAUAUGUGGAGGAAUACCGAUGGCGAAGGCAGCCCCCUGGGAUAACACUGACGCUCAUGCACGAAAGCGUGGGGAGCAAACAGGAUUAGAUACCCGGGU
rnacentral:rRNA from 1 species